rnacentral:rRNA from 1 species
UGACGUAAGUCCAAAGAUUUAUCGCCCAAGGAUGAGCCCGCGUAGAGAUUAGCUAGUUGGUGGGGUAAAGGCCCACCAAGGCGCACGAUCCUUAGCUGGUCUGAGAGGAUGAUCAGCCACACUGGGACUGAGACACGGCCCAGACUCCUACGGGAGGCAGCAGUAGGGAAUAUUGGACAAUGGGCGAAAGCCUGAUCCAGCAAUGCCGCGUGAGUGAUGAAGGCCUUAGGGUUGUAAAGCUCUUUUACCCGGGAUGAUAAUGACAGUACCGGGAGAAUAAGCUCCGGCUAACUCCGUGCCAGCAGCCGCGGUAAUACGGAGGGAGCUAGCGUUGUUCGGAAUUACUGGGCGUAAAGCGCACGUAGGCGGCUAUUCAAGUCAGAGGUGAAAGCCCGGGGCUCAACCCCGGAACUGCCUUUGAAACUAGNAUAGCUUGGAAUCCAGGAGANGUGAGUGGAAUUCCGAGUGUAGANGUGAAAUUCGUAGAUAUUCNGAAGAACACCAGUGGCGAAGGCNGCUCACUGNACUGGUAUUGACGCUGAGGUGCGAAAGCGUGGGGNACAAACAGGAUUAGAUACCCUGGUAGUCCCGC